UUUUAUUAUUUUUUUGUUUACUCAUGCAGUAGAAAUAGCUUGCUUAUUUCGAGUAGAGUUAAUUAUAACCUCUUUUUCCUGGAAAAGUUUUAUAUAAUCUAUCUGAUCUUACCCUUAAGAAAGCACCACUGACUUUUUUGUGCAGUAAUUAAUUUUGCCAGACCUCCCUUCAACUUCAGUUUAAUAAACAUACAACUUUACACAUGGCAUAUUAUAUUUCCUAGGUGUGUCCAUCAAUGGAAAGGCUAAGCUCUAGUUUAUGUAUAAAAUUAAACCCUAUAUUACAAAUCCAGAUGCUGUAAAUCUGAGAGAAAAUGAAUUGACUAUUACCCAGGAGCAAAUAGUUAUUUAGCACCAGUAGCAGAAAUUAACAAAAGCAUUUUUUUAGAAGGACAUGUGAUAUUUUCACAACAUUUUCAGUUACCAAUGAUGACCUGGCUAAUAAUUUUUUUUUUACAAAUGUUUUAGUAAAGAUAUGAGAGUUUUUGUGUAUAUGUGUGUGUUGGGUAACAUGAGGGCACAGCAAAACAUAUUAUUGAACAUUCCUGGGUCCUGUUUCUACAUUCAGAGUUCAUUCACUGGGCUCUAAACACCUGAAUGAUGGCAUUUCUUUGGCUUGGGAUAUUCCAGGAAACUUUGUACAUCUUAAGUGCAAAGCAUGAAUAUGUUUAUUUUAACAGACUCUCACAUCUUUUGUAUAACAACUUAGCAGAUGAACUUACAGACAAGGACAAAGUUAUAGAAGGUUUUGGGGUACAUGUGAAGAACAUGCAAGACAGUUGCAUAGUUUGCUGAGAAUGAUUGUCUCCAGGUUCAUCCAUGUCCCUACAAAGGACAUAAUGACUUAUGAUCAUGUUGAAGAAAAGGACCUUGACAUCGAUAUCAGAGGAUGAGGUGUAUGGAAGGCCAAUAUCUACAUGUAUCCUCAGAUUUCAUUUUCUCCUUUCACUGAGAUAUUGCUCUAUCCAUCACAAGUAUUUUCUCAGAAACAUUCAUUAUUACUUAUGUGAUUUUAUCCUAUGCAGUUUAUAUCUGCCAAGUCUCUCCAUUUUUAAUACAAAAAGCAAUCCUUAA
rnacentral:lncRNA from 13 species